CAUACGGCAAUGAAGGAACAAGUGUGAGACGUUGGAUAUAAAAUGAUGGGAGGCCCCUGGCGCGCUCAAUGUGUAUAUGUCUCUCGGCUUCUUCUCCGGGAAAUAGUGCGGGCGCACAUAGUUUUGGAGCGAAAUGAAACAUAAUGGAUGGGUCAUCGUAUGGAAAAAAUGUAUUGGAUUUCAUACACACAUUUGAAU
ensembl:ncRNA F11D5.11 ncRNA